rnacentral:lncRNA from 1 species
CGCUUUCAGCGGCAUGUUUCUAUACUAGUGAACUGAACUUCCAUUACAUUUCUCUGCCUACCGCGCUUGGUUCGUAUUUACUUUCCAUUACAUUUCUCCGUCUACCGCUCUUGGUUUCGUAUUUACUAUUUUACAUUUAAACUGGAAUUUGCUUUUAUUAUGAUUUUUGUGUAGUAAUCAACCGGGAACCAGUUUACAUACCUCCGGUCCUUCUUAUUACCAAAAAGAUCGAAGUGUACCAACCAAUGUUGUUAAGAUACUCAUAAAUCUAUUUUUAUAACUUUAUUGAUUAUGUGAAGUAAAACUAAAACAUUGUUAAAACAUUAAAGAUAUAUAAUUAAUCGGGGAAAACUUGAUAGUCUUUUCUUUUUACAAAC